CUUUGAUAACCCAGAAAGUAUGGAGUGGGCUUUGCAGUAAGGAACAGCUUGCUGAAUAUGAUAGAACCAAACAGCGGUGGCUCUGAGCGACUCCUAGCACUCUGCCUUAACACCACUCAUCAGUGUGUACGCUCCAACGCUGUCCGCCACUUCGGUCACCAAGGAUGAGUUCUACGAGAACCUUGCAUUGACCAUCAGGAAUAUACCAAGUGCCAAACAGUUUGUUUUCCUGGGCGACUUCAACACCAGAGUGC